AACGAACGCUGGCGGCAUGCCUAACACAUGCAAGUCGAACGAGACCUUCGGGUCUAGUGGCGCACGGGUGCGUAACGCGUGGGAACCUGCCCUUAGGUUCGGAAUAACUCCCCGAAAGGGGUGCUAAUACCGGAUAAUGUCUUCGGACCAAAGAUUUAUCGCCUUUGGAUGGGCCCGCGUUGGUUUAGCUAGUUGGUAGGGUAAAAGCCUACCAAGGCGACGAUCCAUAGCUGGUCUGAGAGGAUGAUCAGCCACACUGGGACUGAGACACGGCCCAGACUCCUACGGGAGGCAGCAGUGGGGAAUAUUGGACAAUGGGCGAAAGCCUGAUCCAGCAAUGCCGCGUGAGUGAUGAAGGCCUUAGGGUUGUAAAGCUCUUUUACCCGGGAUGAUAAUGACAGUACCGGGAGAAUAAGCCCCGGCUAACUCCGUG
rnacentral:rRNA from 1 species